GUUCCUCCUCCUCCUCUGCUGCCCAAGCUGCUCCUUCCCUCCGCACCGGCUGCCUUAAGUUGCUUGCCAUGAUCUCCACCAAAGAAUCGCCGUCCCGCUGACGUCCCGCGGUGGAGGCGGCGGGAGGAGAGACACAGGAGAGCAAAAGGAGGAGGAAAAAGAAGUGCUCCCAAGCCUCUCCUCCUGCUCCAGGUGAUGCCCCAGUUCACCUUUGCUUGUUUCUGCGGGCUCCAUGGCUUCUGCAAGAUGAAGAGGAAGAAGGAAGAGUCCAGUGCGCAGCAGGAGACCGCAGUGUGAGGAGCAGGCUCCUGUGUGCAUCCCACCGAGCCGUGCCUUGGGACCCCAUCCCCUUCCCCUUGAUUUUUGUGUGGCCAAAAGCAUGGGAAGGACCUUGCCGAGAGGCAGAAGCGGAUGCUGUGGGUGUUAUCCAUGUGCUGCACCAUCGGCACCUGAGCAGUCAGUGAUGGAAGGACUCUGUGUCCCAGCGGGGUAGAGACUUCCCUCCUGAGCAAGCCAACCUGCCCUUGCCCCAACAAGUCCCAACAGACAGACCUGGAGGGGUUUUCAAAAGCCGGGGCCAGACCUUGUCCUUCCUGGAGUCCUAUUGCUGCAGAGGCUGGCCCCUGGCUGGUAAGUUGUCCCGCUGCUGCAGAAAUGGCUGAACACCAAAACCAAGCUGGUUUGGGGUUGGUUUGUGUUUUAAAGCAAGUGUCUGGGACCCCAAGAAGCCGUUCUCCGUGUCCUGCCCUGCCUGGUCCCAUGGGUGCAGCACCCUGCAGUGCUUCGGAGGCACCAGACACACCAAACCUGCUCGGACACUGCUCCUUGUGUGACCAGGGAGGACCAGGAGCUCCCACAGCACAGAUGGGGGACACCUUGGUGUGCAUCCCUGAGCCAUGAGGCUCAGCAGGAGCUUGCUCUUCUUUGGCAAACAGGCCAAAAUCCCUGAGCUCAGAGCACCGGAGAUUCCCUCCAGGGACAUUUCUACCACAAAUACAUCCUCCAGAGCAGAAAUCCUUAAACUCUUCCAUACUGUGCUUCCUUUCUCCAUACGGAGACCAUGACGCCAAAAGCAAUGCCCGGGGCUUUUGAUCCUGCUCCUGCAGGAGCCAAGUGCUCUCCUUAUGCCAUGUGGCCAUCCCCAUGUCCCCCUUCCUUCCCAACCUUGUCCACGCGUUCUUCCCACCCAUCAUUGAAGCCAUAUGGAGCCGCCGGUGUUGUGCCUUCCCGGAGGCAUCUCAGACAGAUAUCCCUUCUCAGAUCCCUCCACAAGGGGGGAGGCUGCUGGGUCCAGGGAGCUGAGGCCCCUCAGGGUUUGGGGGCUGCUGCUUGGGUCCCAGUGCCUGGGUCCCCAUCCUUGAAUGCACCCAGCAUUGGAGAUGCUCCCACUGCAAGAUGUGCUGGAAAGGACAGCCCUUAGGAAAGGGGAAUGCUCCGGAGCAGCCGUGCUGGGGCUAUCAGCACAAGGGGGGAUUGACUUGAGCAGACUGGCACCCCUGAGGAGCCCCCUCCAUGUGGGAUGAGAACAAAUCCUCCCUGUGAUUAAGUGGCUCGACCUUUGCAGGGUUUGCCCAGUGCUCCCAGAACAGCCUCAUCCUCAGCAAACAGAGCUGUACGUGCUGCUGACAGCUCCCCUUUGGAGACGUGUUGCCUCAGCCAACAUCCAGAACCAACACGGUCAUUGCUUUAUUUUCUUAUCCAAGGGAUUUAGCACAAACCCCUGAUCCUGGCCAGGAGCACCACUAACACCAGAGCUUUACAUCCUCUCUGCUGGGUGCCCAGUGCCCAGGUUCUGGUGGGAAGCAGCUGACCGGGGUGGGAUGUGAUGCUUGGAGCCAGCCGGGACCAGGCACAGGGCAUGGACCACGCGUGGUCUCUGUGUGCCAGACCCCGGGGUCGGGGUGCUGGGGACACUUUCCUUGUUCCCCUCUUUAAGCCCAAGGGAUGAGAUCCAGCAGUGCAGCCCCUGGGCAGUGUUCCCAGCCUGGUAUUUCCCAGCUGGGCUCCAGGUUUUGGCAUGGGAGAAGGCACAGGAUAGGAUGUGAGGUGCCCUGCGAGGGGUCCUGUCAUUUGUCACCACUGAGCUCAGCAGGUUUCAGCCUGGCACACACAGAGCAGAGUGUGUCACGCUGCGGUUAGUGCCGCUGUAACGUCUCCUCUGAGACUUCAUCAGCCUUUUACUUGUACAAGAUGCUUUGCUGAGGACUGAGGGUGGCUGAGGUUAACGCUGAUGCACCCACAUCUGGACGGUGCGGGAUGGGAUGAUGCUUCCUGGUUGUGGUGGGAGUCCCCUGGGCUGGGCUGGAUGAGCUGGAAACAUGCCGUGUGUGCUGUGCAUAUGUUGUGCAUGAUGCACAUGCUUCUCCAGGGUGCACGCACAGUGCACACGCUGUGCACACGCUAUGCACAUGCUGCACAUGCCAUUUGUGAGUGUGGCAGCAGCUCUGAGCCUGUUCAGGUUUUCUGUGUCCCAAAUAUUCCUGUCUCCAGCGAGAGGUUCCCAAGCUGGAUAAAUGAAUGUAGCAUGUAAAACUGAGACAGGCACCACUCACCCGCACCCAUUCCAUGUGCAUGGAACACAUCCCAUGUGCGGUGUGCGUGUUAAAGCACUGGAGCUACAGUUAUUUUCCCACCUCCCUGGAUGGAUGUAGCUCUCAAAGCAACAAUAUGUUUUCCACCAUGGCUCCGAGCAAAAUGGUUUGCUCCUGGGUUGACCUCUAUUGUGUUCAUAAAUGGCUUGUGGCGC
rnacentral:lncRNA from 1 species